UCUAAGUCUGUGAAUCUGUUUCUGUUUUGUAAAUAAGUUCAUUUGUAUCAUUUUUUUAUUUGAGAUUCUGCAUAUAAACGAUGUCAUAUGAUAUUUGUCUUUCUCUGAUUUACUCAUUUGAAGAUUCCCACCAAAAGUGGAUGAGUGGGGAGCUGGCUUCAGGAUGAAUGGGGACCACCCAGCCUGGAAGGGAUGCUAGGAUGCCCCCCCAACAUAAGUGUCACUGCUCUGUACUGAGACCCAUUGAGUCUCUGAAGAUCUCUUCUCAACAGUAACCUGUAUGAAAUCAUCAUGUGACUUCACAGGAAAUUUGAUCACAGGCUCAGGUGGAAUAAGUCAUAGUUUCCUCUGGGUGCCCAGCCCUGUUCAUGCUGGCUGUGGCUUCAGAACACUGCCCCUCCAGGAGAAACUGCAAGAGAAAACUGUUCAGGAACAUCUUCAGAUCCUCCUCCUACAUUUCAUCUCCUGAAUUCUCCAGUGGUUCUCAAUAUAUCCCUGACAUCACAUCUGCAAAUCUGUCUGUUUUCUGUGAGAAAAUUUAAGAACCAAAGGUCAGUACCUAGCUUAUUCUAGAUUG
rnacentral:lncRNA from 1 species